ACACUCUACACACCCACUUCCCCCCACAAUCCAGUGAUGUCUUUUUGUCUUUUGGUUCACUGCCUCAAGGGCCCCUCAGAAGGGCCCCCUCCAGCUGACCUCUGCUCUAAACCGUGUGCCUUGCACCUGCCACACGAGAACAGAAGCUCAGCAACUGCUGCCUCAACAAAUGGGAGAACUGAAGUGUGUGGACACUGACCAGGGCCUCUUUAUGUGACUCAAUGGGCAAAAGUAGGAUGCUGCCAGCUGCUUUCUGUCUCAAGGCUCAACCUACUCUUGGAAACCUAAGUCACGACUUCAACACGAUCCACGGCUAGUUGCUGACUCUCUGCUCAGCGCACCUUGGACGGGAGUAUGCAGAGAGAUCCGAUUUCUGGCGCGUGUGGGAGCGAGCGAACAGAAAGUUCCUGGAUGUGUCCUCAGCGUUUGGGCUGAACUUGGAAGAGGCUGUGCGGGUUCCCCUGGCGGUGGACAAAGCAAGGUGGGAGCGAUGAACCGAGGGACCUGGGGGACAUGCAGGUUGCUUGUGGGAUACGCAACGCUAGUGUUUCUCAAAGUGGGGUUCUCCAAGCAGGUCACCUGGGCUGCUUAAAUGCAGACCCAAUAGGGAGCUGGACCAGGGCUCCCCAGGCUCCCCUGUGCGCUAACAUCCCCCAGAGGGCUCCAUGAACACACCCGCCUGGCUCCACCCCCAGAGCAGGUCUAGGGUGGGACCAAGACUUUGCCUUUCUCCUGAGGUCCCGUGUGCCACUGACACUGGGGCUGGGCACAGCACGAAACUCACAGCCCCACCGCAGGUGCUCUGCUCCUCCGCAGCGUGGACACAGGGGCCGCUCGUUCUGCAUCGGGCCGUCCCGGGCACUGCAGGUGCUGAGCGGUGGCCCUGCCUCCACCACCCCACGCCAGGUGCUCUCCCCCUGUGGUUGUGACAGCCACAAGUUCCCUAGACACUGCCGAGGGCGCCCUUCCUGCCCAGGUGAGACCCGCUGCCUUGACCUGAAGAAGCCUGCCCACCCUCCAGCCUCGCCUCCAGCCUUCCCCGCGGGUAGCUGCUCUCUCAUCGCUGAUAUUUGUGAUUUUUGGGGGUGUGAUUUCUGGGAGCUGACAGUGGAUAACGGCUGAACCUGAACUUCACCCCUACAAAUAUUGGUUCUUCCAGACUGGAGGGGGGAAGGGUGGGCACCUAAGGGAGGGCUGACACUCCUCCGGGCACUGAGACGAC